ACAGGGAUCAGAUUCUACCAUAAUUCAAUACAGUUCACCUUCCACUAACACAGUGAAGCCACUCCGGAGAAACAAAUCGAUGUACCCGUUUCUCCUUCAAAAGACAGUGCGCACUCUUGCUCCAGCUUCCCACCCAUGAUCGCCCCCUGGUGCGGUGCUGGCAGGAGGGAAAGAUGCCUGCAGCAGGGGCUUUCCCAGCAACGGCUGUUGCGCUAAUUGCUUUCCCUCACAGCCUUCGUAUUGCACAAAAGGAAGGAAAGCCUCUGCGAUACAGGGCUCCUGUCCCAUAGCCAUAAUCGAGCUGCCAGCAGCGCUGGCCUUUGGAAAGUCAUGAGUCGGUUCCCUCUCCUCUUGCCCUGCCAAACCAUGAGGCUGGCAGCUUGCCACCAUCAGCCUGAUCCAAAUAACGCCUUCCCUAGAAGAGAGCGAGCGGACCACCGGGAGCUGUGACCUGAAGGCAUACAGAGACAUGAAACAGCCUUUCCAGAACCAAAGGUAUAUUCCCAAGCGAAUCUGACCAUUUCCAGUUAAACUGUCUACUCCUUUGGCUGGAAAGUAAAAACAACUCACUAGCUAAUGGCUGGGUUAGAAAACAAGAAUAGCAGACAGGACAUGUCUAGUAUUCUUCACUCUGAAAGAGUCAACGGUGCUGAACAUGAUUAUACCUUACAGCUACUGCAAGGGGUAACUACCGAAGCAGACUUAUGCAGCACUAGUACUUGGUAUCUUCUCUAUCAAUAGCAAACACGAUUAAGAGAGUUACUACACAUUAUUCUAUAUUUUUUAGGAAUCGCACCAGCCCAAAGUUGUUGAGAGUAGAUAUGGCACCCUGGUACCGUGACCCUAAAACGUGUAAAAAGCAAAAUGUGGGCAAACCUUUAAUGGAUCCGAAAGAAACAGGCAAUGGUGUUCACAAUUUUACGACACCACCCAUUAAGAAGGUACCAUAAGCACUGUGUACCACUGACACUGAGCCCAGCGGAGUUAAUGACUUACAGGGCAUGUAGGUUAUGGGAACAUGCCUGUGCCACAUUUGCAGCAAGAAUAAGAGGCAUAAUAUCUCUUACUAUUCACCUGAUUGGUGACAAUGACUGCUUGGUUUUUCCCUCUGUGACAGUGAGAAUCCACAGUGUAAGGCCUGGCAAUGAGCAAACUCCGACAGCUCUUAUUAUCAGAAAGCUGCUACCUGCUUCCAACCUCACCUGUGACCUGUUCUCCUUUCCCUCCUCAACAGAGCUCCAUAAAAGCACCACUGGGUUUUUCACACAUGCUGUCCUUGCGCUCAGGAAGAGCUCUCUGCAAACCUCCGUAAAGCUUCCCCUGCCAAACACUCAAUGUGGAGUUGUCUGUGGAACUUCCAGAUGCCCCGAUAGUACGGCCACAGGGAAUAAGAGGGCUCCUUAAUUUGUAUUUCUUUUGUACUUGUUCAUGUUUCCAUUUUGUUCUAGCGUAAAACUGGAAGAAGUACUGUACAUGCACAAGGCUUGUUUAAGAGCAGUACUCUCCAACAUCCUUAAUACAGCAACUGUGGAUACCACGGGAUCAGACACUGGCCAGGCUCAAAAGCACUCCCGAAAUAGCAUCCCCUUAACUGCCACCGUCAAAGCCAGCAUAGCGGGAGAGAUGCACCACGGGUCUGAUCCAGCUGGGCAUUUCUCACUCGCUCUGAAGCUACAGCUGAGAUUCCCUGUCACCGCACUAGAUGGCAGAGCUUACAGAAUAAAAUUCAGAAAGUUCAUUUGAGACAGUGCACGUGGGCCACGACUUCCUAACAGCUAUGGCUGUAGAGUUGUUUAUAGAAUUAGAAUAGUAAAUAUCCGGCCUACUGUUUUGGUUUUGAAAUGAGAAAAGGUGGCAGGUUUGAGGGUCCUGAUCUUAGGGCAGUCAGCUGGCUGGUAAUUCUGCAAAGUCACAUGUAGCUUUCCAAGAUACGGUCCAGCAACUGCUAUCACAUUUACUGAAUAAACAAUGGUGCAAUGAAGCCUCAAUGUUCACAGAACACUAACUUCCAAACUAAUGCCACAUCAGAAAUGACUGCAUGAACAAACUAAAAUCUUGAAUUAAUUCAAAACAGAAUUGUGUCCCUCAGACUUUGAGAAACUGUCUCCUUGCCCCUUUUUUGUACUGUCGCUCUGUUUGGUUCCAAUGAAAGUUUUAAAAAAAUACAACGUUACAUUUUGGAGCUUUUCUGUUAAUCUGCUUAGGAAGUUCUCUUAGGAGGCAGAAGUCUCCAUGUUCUACAGGAUAUGAGCAUUUCAAGAACUCCUGGAGAGGAAGGGCUACCAAAAACCAGGGGUAAGUUACCGUCUGCAACAAUCUGUGCAUUUGCUUCAGAACAGGAACCUCAGUCCUCAGCAUCCUGUGAGCUCUUGGGCUAUGAAUCUUCUG